UUUACUUAGAUCAUCUUAGUGGCGGACGGGUGAGUAACACGUGAGCAACCUGCCUUUGAGAGAGGGAUAGCUUCUGGAAACGGAUGGUAAUACCUCAUAACAUACAGAUACCGCAUGGUGACUGUAUCAAAGAUUUAUCACUCAAAGAUGGGCUCGCGUCUGAUUAGAUAGUUGGUGAGGUAACGGCUCACCAAGUCGACGAUCAGUAGCCGGACUGAGAGGUUGAACGGCCACAUUGGGACUGAGACACGGCCCAGACUCC
rnacentral:rRNA from 1 species